UACGUAGGGUGCAAGCGUUAAUCGGAAUUACUGGGCGUAAAGCGUGCGCAGGCGGUGAUGUAAGACAGGUGUGAAAUCCCCGGGCUUAACCUGGGAACUGCAUUUGUGACUGCAUCGCUGGAGUGCGGCAGAGGGGGAUGGAAUUCCGCGUGUAGCAGUGAAAUGCGCAGAUAUCGGGAAGAACACCCGUGGCUAAGGCGGCUCUCUAGUACGGUACUGACGCUGAGACGCGAAAGCGUGGGGAGCAAACAGG
rnacentral:rRNA from 1 species